rnacentral:tRNA from 1 species
GGGAAGGUGGCUCAGUGGUAGAGUGCUUGCCUUGCAUGCAUGAGGCCCUGGGUUCUAUUCCUCAGCCACCACA